UGAGGAAUAUUGGGCAAUGCCCGCAAGGGUGACCCAGCAACGCCGCGUGGAGGAUGAAUGUCGUAAGAUUGUAAACUCCUGUUAGAGGGGAAGAAUAGUACCGGUUGGACCGGUAUAUGACUGUACCCUCAGAGAAAGCCCCGGCUAACUACGUGCCAGCAGCCGCGGUAAUACGUAGGGGGCAAGCGUUUUCCGGAUUUACUGGGUGUAAAGGGCGCGCAGGCGGGAUAAAAAGUCAGUGGUGAAAUCCUACAGCUUAACUGUAGAGCUGCCUUUGAUACUUUUAUUCUUGAGUUCGGGAGAGAGAGACGGAAUUCCAGGUGUAGUGGUGAAAUACGUAGAUAUCUGGAAGAACACCAGUUGCGAAGGCGGUCUCUUGGUCCGACACUGACGCUGAGGCGCGAAAGCGUGGGGAGCAAACA
rnacentral:rRNA from 1 species